rnacentral:rRNA from 1 species
CGAGUCGCGAGUCUUAGGGACUCGGCGUACCGCUCGGUAACACGUGGGUAACCUGCCUUAUGCUGGGGGAUAACCUCGGGAAACUGAGAAUAAUACCCCAUAGUUCACCACGCCUGGAACGGUGGGUGGAUGAAAGCUCCGGCGGCAUAGGAUGGGCCUGCGGCGUAUCAGGUUGUAGGGGGUGUAAUGUACCCUCUAGCCAUCUACGCGUACGGGUGUUGGGAGACAUCGCCCGGAGAUGGAUUCUGAGACACGAAUCCAGACCCUACGGGGUGCAGCAGGCGCGAAAACUUGGCAAUGCGAGCAAUCGUGACCAGGGAACUCCAAGUGCAUCGGGUAAGACCGAUGCUUUUCUUGACUCUUCAAAGGUCUUGGAAUAAGGGGUGGGUAAGGACGGUGCCAGCCGCCGCGGUAAUACCGGCGCCUCAAGUGGUAGUCGCUUUUAUUGGGCCUAAAACGUCCGUAGCCGGUUUGGUACAUUCGUGGGUAAAUCAAGGCGCUCAACGUCUUGAAUUCUGCGAGCACGGCCAGACUUGGGACCGGGUGAGGUGUGGGGUACUCUCAGGGUAGGGGUAAAAUCCUGUCAUCCUGAGAGGACCACCUGU